UGGGGAAUAUUGCACAAUGGGCGCAAGCCUGAUGCAGCGACGCCGCGUGAGGGAUGAAGGCCUUCGGGUUGUAAACCUCUUUCAGUAGGGAAGAAGCGAAAGUGACGGUACCUGCAGAAGAAGCGCCGGCUAACUACGUGCCAGCAGCCGCGGUAAUACGUAGGGCGCAAGCGUUAUCCGGAAUUAUUGGGCGUAAAGAGCUCGUAGGCGGUUUGUCGCGUCUGCCGUGAAAGUCCGGGGCUUAACUCCGGAUCUGCGGUGGGUACGGGCAGACUUGAGUGAUGUAGGGGAGACUGGAAUUCCUGGUGUAGCGGUGAAAUGCGCAGAUAUCAGGAGGAACACCGAUGGCGAAGGCAGGUCUCUGGGCAUUAACUGACGCUGAGGAGCGAAAGCGUGGGGAGCAAACAGGAUUAGAUACCCUUGUAGUCCCUGAGCGGGCUGGCAAGGCGCAU
rnacentral:rRNA from 1 species